ACAAAUAAACACACACACAUUAAACUAUCUAUUAAUCAUUUAAUAGUCAUCCAAAUUAUUAAGAAUUUAGCAGUAGUUAAUUUUAAGCCCGCAACCGCCUUUUGAUUGACCAAAUAAUAACAAAUACAAAAAACAACCACACACACACACUCAAUAAGUCGGCUUACUCACACCGCUUUUGGCCGUUUUCCUGCGACUCUUACCAAAUCGUCAAUUCUUUAUCAAUUCGACCAGUUCAGCCACUUAAACGAAAUGCAAAUCCAAUUCCCAGAGCAGCGGAAUAGGCGGACAGGUGGUUAACUCAACGGAUUAAGACAUUUCACGGUGGCGAGAAAUAUGCAGUUUAAUUGUAAUGGCAAUGGCCAUAUGGCUUGGAACGAUUUACAGCAAUUUAAUUAAUCUAGUAAUAUCAUGUUCCUUUGAAAAUAAGGGUUUUACAAAUAAAUGUACAUGAUUUAAAAUAGAAAUAAAACCAAAAGAUAAGGGUA